rnacentral:rRNA from 1 species
UACGUAGGGGGCAAGCGUUGUCCGGAAUCAUUGGGCGUAAAGAGCGUGUAGGCGGCUCGGUAAGUCCGCUCUGAAAGCCCGGGGCUCAACCCCGGGAGGCGGGCGGAUACUGUCGGGCUAGAGUCCGGAAGAGGCGAGUGGAAUUCCUGGUGUAGCGGUGAAAUGCGCAGAUAUCAGGAGGAACACCAAUGGCGAAGGCAGCUCGCUGGGACGGUACUGACGCUGAGACGCGAAAGCUAGGGGAGCAAACAGG